CGUGCCUAACACAUGCAGUCGUACGAGAAACACAUCCUUCGGGAUGUGGAGUAAAGUGGCGAACGGGUGAGUAACACGUGGGUAACCUGCCCUCGGGACCGGGAUGACUGGCCGAAAGGCCCGCUAAUACCGGAUAAGGCCACAUGGGCUUCGGCCCAAGGGGUCAAAGUCGGCCUCUCAAAGAAGCUGGCGCCCAAGGAGGGGCUCGCGUACCAUUAGCUUGUUGGUAGGGUAACGGCCUACCAAGGCAAAGAUGGUUAGCUGGUCUGAGAGGAUGAUCAGCCACACUGGAACUGACACACGGUCCAGACUCCUACGGGAGGCAGCAGUGAGGAAUAUUGCGCAAUGGGGGAAACCCUGACGCAGCAACGCCGCGUGGGUGAAGAAGGCCCUCGGGUUGUAAAGCCCUGUCAGGUGCGAAGAACCCUUUUCAGGUUAAUACCCUGGAGAGCUGACGGUACCACCAAAGGAAGCACCGGCUAACUCCGUGCCAGCAGCCGCGGUAAGACGGAUGGUGCAAGCGUUGUUCGGAAUUACUGGGCGUAAAGCGCGUGUAGGCGG
rnacentral:rRNA from 1 species